rnacentral:rRNA from 1 species
GAUGAACGCUGGCGGCGUGCCUAAUACAUGCAAGUCGAGCGAACAGACGAGGAGCUUGCUCCUUUGACGUUAGUGGCGGACGGGUGAGUAACACGUGGAUAACCUACCUAUAAGACUGGGAUAACUUCGGGAAACCGGAGCUAAUACCGGAUAAUAUAUUGAACCGCAUGGUUCAAUAGUGAAAGACGGUUUUGCUGUCACUUAUAGAUGGAUCCGCGCCGCAUUAGCUAGUUGGUAAGGUAACGGCUUACCAAGGCAACGAUGCGUAGCCGACCUGAGAGGGUGAUCGGCCACACUGGAACUGAGACACGGUCCAGACUCCUACGGGAGGCAGCAGUAGGGAAUCUUCCGCAAUGGGCGAAAGCCUGACGGAGCAACGCCGCGUGAGUGAUGAAGGUCUUCGGAUCGUAAAACUCUGUUAUUAGGGAAGAACAAAUGUGUAAGUAACUAUGCACGUCUUGACGGUACCUAAUCAGAAAGCCACGGCUAACUACGUG